rnacentral:tRNA from 1 species
GUGGGUAUAGCUCAGUGGUAGAGUGCAUGCUUAGCAUGCACGAGGUCCUGGGUUCAAUCCCUAGGACCUCCA